GGCUCAGGAUGAACGCUAGCGGCAGCUUAACACAUGCAAGUCGAGGGGGUAUUGGUUUUCGGACCAAGAGACCGGCGCACGGGUGCGUAACGCGUAUGCAAUCUACCUUUUGCAGAGGGAUAGCCCAGAGAAAUUUGGAUUAAUACCUCAUAGUAUAGUACUUUGGCAUCAAGGAACUAUUAAAGUCACAACGGCAAAAGAUGAGCAUGCGUCCCAUUAGCUAGUUGGUAAGGUAACGGCUUACCAAGGCUACGAUGGGUAGGGGUCCUGAGAGGGAGAUCCCCCACACUGGUACUGAGACACGGACCAGACUCCUACGGGAGGCAGCAGUGAGGAAUAUUGGACAAUGGGCGCAAGCCUGAUCCAGCCAUGCCGCGUGCAGGAUGACGGUCCUAUGGAUUGUAAACUGCUUUAUACAGGAAGAAACACUCCGACGUGUCGGAGCUUGACGGUACUGUAAGAAUAAGGAUCGGCUAACUCCGUG
rnacentral:rRNA from 1 species